GAACCGUACAAACGUUAUUCGGGAAUCACUGGGCUUAAAGGGUGCGUAGGCGGCGGCGCAAGUUGGGGUGUGAAAUCCCUCGGGCUCAACCGAGGAAUGGCGCCCAAAAACUGCGUGGCUCGAGGGAGACAGAGGUGAGCGGAACUUGCGGUGGAGCGGUGAAAUGCGUUGAUAUCGCAAGGAACACCAGUGGCGAAGGCGGCUCACUGGGUCUCUUCUGACGCUGAGGCACGAAAGCUAGGGGAGCGAACGGGAUUAGAUACCCCGGUAGUCCUAGCUGUAAACGAUGAGCACUGGGUCGGAGGAUCCUCCAUAGUUUUCCGGCCGUAGCGAAAGUGUUAAGUGCUCCGCCUGGGGAGUAUGGUCGCAAGGCUG
rnacentral:rRNA from 1 species